rnacentral:tRNA from 1 species
GGCAGCCUAUAGCCUAGUGGUUAAGGUACAUGACUGGGACCCCUGAGGUUGGCAGUUCAAAUCCCAGUGCAGCCA